CGAGGACGACGCUGGCGGCGUGCCUAACACAUGCAAGUCGAACGGGGUUGAGAGCUUCGGCUCUUAACUUAGUGGCGAACGGGUGAGUAACGCGUGAGAAACCUGCCUCUCAGUGGGGGGACAACAGUUGGAAACGACUGCUAAUACCGCAUAACAUUACCGGAGGGCAUCCUCUGGUAAUCAAAGCUUUAUGUGCUGAGAGAUGGUCUCGCGUCUGAUUAGCUAGAUGGCGGGGUAACGGCCCACCAUGGCGACGAUCAGUAGCCGGUCUGAGAGGAUGAACGGCCACAUUGGGACUGAGAUACGGCCCAGACUCCUACGGGAGGCAGCAGUGGGGAAUAUUGGGCAAUGGGCGCAAGCCUGACCCAGCAACGCCGCGUGAAGGAAGAAGGCCUUCGGGUUGUAAACUUCUUUUACCAGGGACGAAUAAUGACGGUACCUGGAGAAAAGCAACGGCUAACUACGUG
rnacentral:rRNA from 1 species